CCUACGGGAGGCUGCAGUGGGGAAUAUUGGGCAAUGGACGCAAGUCCGACCCAGCAACGCCGCGUGAAGGAAGAAGGCUUUCGGGUUGUAAACUUCUUUUAAGGGGGAAGAGCAGAAGACGGUACCCCUUGAAUAAGCCACGGCUAACUACGUGCCAGCAGCCGCGGUAAUACGUAGGUGGCAAGCGUUGUCCGGAUUUACUGGGGGUAAAGGGCGUGCAGCCGGAGCGACAAGUCAGAUGUGAAAUCCACGGGCUCAACCCGUGAACUGCAUUUGAAACUAUUUCCCUUGAGUGUCGGAGAGGUAAUCGGACUUCCUUGUGUAGCGGUGAAAUGCGUAGAUAUAAGGAAGAACACCAGUGGCGAAGGCGGAUUACUGGACGAUAACUGACGGUGAGGCGCGAAAGCGUGGGGAGCAAACAGGAUUAGAUACCCUGGUAGUC
rnacentral:rRNA from 1 species